rnacentral:rRNA from 1 species
UACGUAGGUGGCAAGCGUUGUCCGGAUUUACUGGGCGUAAAGAGCUCGUAGGCGGUCUGUCGCGUCUGCUGUGAAAACUCGGGGCUUAACCCCGGGCCUGCAGUGGGUACGGGCAGACUAGAGUGCGGUAGGGGAGACUGGAAUUCCUGGUGUAGCGGUGAAAUGCGCAGAUAUCAGGAGGAACACCGGUGGCGAAGGCGGGUCUCUGGGCCGUAACUGACGCUGAGGAGCGAAAGCGUGGGGAGCGAACAGG